CCCCGCGGGAAGGCCGCGAGCCCCGGGAGCGGAGCAUGGAGGCCGAGGCCGCUCGCGCAGCCGCAGCAGGCAUUUAUCCAGUGGAUAUUUUGGAAGAUGACCCCGAAAGGCAUUGGAAAGCAGCCCUGGCUUACUAUACCACACUUAGGGAAGAAAUGCGGCCCCCAGUAGAGUUUUUCUCUCUUCCCACGGGGGAGCAGGUUAAACUUGAAGCUACAUCUGUUUGCUUUUGCACUGUGCACCGUGAUGAACCUCAACAUAAAAUAUUAGUCUUGGUUAAUCCACAGGACACAAAGACAGUGGUGGCUGUUUACAUAAAGGAGUUCUGGUGGCCCACCGAAGAUGUGCUAAGAACCUCUGAUCCUGCAAGAGAAGGUCUGAUGAAGGUUCAGUCAUUUGGGGAGAGGAUUGUGCUUUUCAUUCUGAACGUCGUUAUUUUUGGAAGAUUGGAGAGAAAUUUGGAUGAUGGUGACAUGUUUUUUUUACCUCACUCUGUGAAGGAGCAAGCAAAAAUUCUGUGGCAGGAUGGAGCAGCCGUUGGAUUUUACACAACCAAAAGGAAAGGCAGCCUGUGUGGUGAUGGCACGGGUGCAUGCUACCUGCUGCCGGUCUUCGACACUGUGUUUGUCAGGAGGACUUACCGUCGCCAAGGCCUGGGCAUGGCCAUGCUGCAGGACUUUUGUGAGACAUUCCGAGAGGAUGAGGCCCUGGGUGUCAGUUGGCCAAUUUCUCCUGCCAUGUACCAAGUCUGCAGGAAGUUCCUGGCGGCCCAUCCGGAGGAGCGGGGGCGCCUGUGGGAGGUGCAGCCCCCGGGAGCCUGGGGCCAGCGAGGCAGCAUCUGGCUGAAGGUUCAGCGGCAGCAGGCCCAGCUUCCAGACUAUCUCCCCCGAUGCAGCUGAGUCAGAAGCUCCCUGGGACGGAGGGGCUCCCCGUUUAUAACUAGACGGGAUCUCUGAACCGUGGAAGGAGAGUAACGUGUGCCCCUGCUUAAAGAUUGGUGAAGCCACCAAAGGGUUUACUGUGAAGCGCAAGCUUUCCAUGCCCGCCCUUCCCUUGUGGGAGAUGACACGCAUGCAUAGCGGUGGUGUUGCAUAGAUAGCAUUCUGCAAAGGAGUGCCUUGUCCUUCCUGUCCUUUUUUUUUUUUUUUUUUAAGAUUUUCUUUAUUUACGAGAGACACAUAGAGGCAGAGGGAGAAACAGGCUUCCUGCAGGGAGGGUGAUGCCGGACUUGAUCCCAGGACCCCAGGAUCAAGGCCUGAGCCAUAGACAGAGGCUCAACUGCUGAGCCACCCAGGUGUCCCCUUUCUGUCCUUUUUAUUGGCAGCAUAGUAUGCUGCUGUGUGGAGAUGUUGUUGAUUUGGGCAGCCCCUCUUACAGACACAUUGUCCUCAGUUUGGGGUUUUGUCCUCAGUUAGAGCCCCACCGUGAGUUUGCAGGGAUUUUGAUGGAGGGUCCUAAUGGGAGGCAACAGGUGGGAAGACCAGAUGCAGUUGUGUCUGAUUCUCCAAGUUGCUUUUCAACAGCGUGCCUUCCACCUCUUCCACGUGGGUGAUUUGGACUGCACAUUGUUGGUGGUUCUCAGCCCCCUGCUCAUGGCGAGGGCCCCUGGGGACAAGGCUGCAGGUGCCGUGUAUGGGUGGGAGGCGCGGGAGGGUCUCACAGUUUAAGUUCACUGGCCAAAGUGAAAAGCGCUGGCUUUUCUUUUCUUCCCUCCUGGGAAAGAAAGCUCCUGUCAGCAUGAAAUGCCAUUUCCCAGGCUGCAGGUAGCUCAUUAGGGGACAGUGGAUAACUGAUUUACUUUAGGUCGUGACAGGGAAGAAAGAGCGCCUUGGAGUUUAUUGAUGGUAACAGUGAUAGGUUUUGCUUUUAUGGUGCCUUUCAGCUAGAAGGUUUAAUGGAUCUUUACAGAUAUUAAUGGGGUGACCAGGCACCUGGGAAAGAGGCCACUGGCAGGGCUGUGACUGUGAUCCUAAUGAGGCGGUUAAGUGACUUGCCCUGUGGCAUCCACAGUUAGAAAUGAAGGGGGAGCUGGCCCGGAUCCCCACUCAGUAAGCUCAACGGGUUUAUCGAGGAGCUUCACAAAUGAGCCUGCAGCUCCCACGUGGACGAGGCCUUUGUGUCUUGGACGUUACAGUUCCUUGGCUGGGAAUGAAAAAAGAAAAAAGAUUUGCAUAUCAGAAUGUGGAAAUAAUAUGGAAAUUGCACAGGCCAGAGGGGGGCAAGCAGGGGGAGGAUGUUUUGGCAUAAUGGGGGAGACUGCUUUCCUCGGAGAAUUCCUCUGGGGGUUAUUUCAAGAGCUGAAAGUUGGUGUGGUCUGGUCACAGGAAACUGAGCUGGGAGUCAGAUGCCAGACCUGUCACUUUAACUCACUGUGAGAUUUGCCAACUCUCUCUUUAAAACAGCAAAUGAGGGGACUUUCACAGAGAAUGUUCCAGAAGCAUGCUUUGAGUCUUUUGAAGAAAGAAGGGUCAUCAUUAUAAUUAGGAUAUAAUUAGAUUACUGAAACUAUAUAAUUAAAAAAAAAAUCUAAAUUAUGGUCUUUUCACUCCUUGUAUAAAUCAUAGCUAGUUCCCAGUUUCACCCACAACUUCUGUCUCCCCCCAGGGCCAGCACUCAGGAUUUUAAUUCACUUGGGAAGGUUUUCAGCCAGCCAGCUUCAUCCUGUAACAAUUUUGUCAGCACUGACAUUUCAGGUUUUUUUCCGGGUUGGUGAGUGGGGGCUGCAAAUGCAAUCACAGAUUUGCCCAGAUGCUCUGCAGUGUCUCAGUUUUUAGUCUCUGCCUUCAUGGAAAUCUGCAAGUGUUAGCCCAUUAGGUUUUCCCACAGGUCACCAAACAGUGUAGGUUCUGGAAUCUUAUCUUGCCUGGAAAUCUCACACAGCCAUUUAUUUAUUUAAUUAAAGAUUUUAUUUAUUUUUAUUUGAGAGACAGCGAGAAAGAGAGGAUGAGUGAGGAAGAGAAGCAGAGGGAGAAGCAGACUCCCUGCUGCGCAGGGAGUCCAUUGCAGGGCUCAAUCCCAGGACUCCAGGAUCAUGACCCAAGCUGAAGGCAAAUGCUUAACUGAUUAACCAACUCAACCACCCAGGCAUCCCUAACAUAGCCAUUUAAUUUAAUUUUAGUUUUUAAUCAGUCUGUUAUUCUUAGAGUUGCUUUCUUGAAUUGUUCUGUUUUUCAAGUUCUAUCUUUUGUUCCUUUAUUUCUGACUGUUAUUUUGGAGGUUUCCUACAAUUUCAUGUGCUGUAGAAAUAGAACUGUAAGCAAGAAGCCCAGCAGAGCCAGUUGCUUUUUACAUUCUAAGUAAGGCAUGGACAUUUUACAUCAUUCCAAAGGGAAAUUAACUUGUGCUCUUUUCAAAAGUUUCGAAACCUAUUUUUGAGGCAGAGUCCUUUAUGGACUAGGUCUUUUAAAGUUUGCAUGGAUCUUGCCUGUUGAUAACAUCUGUGGCUUAUAAUGGCCCUGAAAAUAUUUACAGGGUUUUCAGAACUUUUGAGAGAAGGAGUUUGUGGGAAAGUUUUUUCUUCCUACACUCAGUUACAUAUGAAGCCUUUGAAACUUGACCAAUAGGAUCAUAAUUCUAUCUAGUGUGACUUCUCAUUUAGCUUGCACAUGCUUUAGGUUUUUGUAGUGGAGGAGAUGAAAUUGAAUGCUCCAACAGUGGAAAGUUACAAAAAUGUGGCUGGAGGCAGGAAGUAAUUGCACACAGCUUUAAAAAUUAAUUUUUUCAUUCCUUAGGUUAUAGUUUUGCUUUUUUUCCAGGUGGAUGUUUAAUAUAUUCAAUCAUCAUCCGUAGGGAAAAUAAUUUUCUUCUAUUUACAUUUAAUUUAUAAUGCUAGAGUGUACAUAAAAAUAUGUGAAAUAUAUGAGCUGGGGAGGUGGGGUCAUUUUUCUAAAAGUGUGAAUCUUAGCAAACUGCAGCUCUAGCCUCAUCUCACCUUGUUCUGAUGAUGAGUUGGACAUUAUACAGUGCAGUAGUAAUAGCAGUUUUAUGGCAAUGAGCUGUGGUGGGGAAGUGCUGAGAGGAGAACCACCAUACUGGAUGGGUUUUUCCUAAUGCUGCUCUUUUGAAAGGUUGUGUGGCUCCCUCUCGUGGCUAUUGUCAUCUACUGCGUCCUGGAUGGCAACUCCUGGAUGGUAACUUACUUUGACCCACCUGUGUGGUUGCUUCUCAGAGUCUUAUCCUGGUGCUUCCAAAUUAGAGCAUUCAUUUUUAAAAAUUAUUGAACCUUUAUUGGUUAGGAAUAAAAUAUGAGCAAGUAUUUGGUAGUUUCUAUCAUGCUUUAGUCCAUACCACGUAAACACAUAGACUUACACAUCAGGAAGGGUAGGAAAUAAGGGAUUGUCUACUUCAUUCUCUCAUUCAUUCUUUCAUUCAUACGUUCACGUAUUUUCUCAUUCAUUCAAUAGAUUACUAUAAUGUUGGAUCUACCAGUGCUGGGCCAGUGGAAAAGGUGAUAAGGAUACUGAGGCUGACUGAGUCUGAACUCAUUUAGAGUUUGCAUUUUUACAGAGAAGUAUGUGGGCAAUGUGGGCAACCAUUACUGCAUUAUAUAGAAACUCUGAGAGAGCACUAAAGUAUGCUGGUAUUUUUAAAUGCUUAUGAUUCAGUUUUGCCAAACCAAAGUUGGCUAAUUCAUAAAGUCUAUAAAUAGAUUUUAAAAUUUAUGUAUAUAGGUAACAACUAAAUAAUAUAUUCUUAUUUGAAAAGUGUGUUUCUUAUUUUUUUUUUUUUAAGUGUGUUCCAUGCCCAGCAUGGAACUUACCACUCUGAGAUCAAGACCUGAGCUGAGAUCAACAGUCAGAUGCCUAACCAACUGAGCCACCCGGGUGCCCUGAAAAAUGUGUUUCAUUUACAUUUUUGGCUCAAAUGGAAAACUGAAUAUUUUUUUCCUAAAGGAUCUGAACACUCUUCCAACACACACACACACACACACACACACACACACAUCCACACAUGGAUUUUGGGGCCUAGGGAAGUACACAGUGGGAUAAGAAAAUCAUCCCUUUCCAAGUUGGGGCUGAUUUGGUAAGAGGGAGUGGGGGGCUGAAUUUAAAAGUGUGAUUAUGGGCUCUCUUUCAAGUAAAAAUUCUAGUGAGCAAAGGAAUAUAACUAGAAACUGACUCCAUUUAACAUCUGAAUAAUUGGAAGAAAAGAUCAAAUUCCAGAUCAGAAACCCUUGAGUAGAGCCAUCACUUCACGUCUGCCCAAACCUGGCAGGUUUCCCUGUCCUCCGGAGGGUGCUGUAGCAGAUAGCACAGUGAAAGUCAAUAAGAUGGAAUUGGGUUGUGGUGAUCAGUGCUUUUGGAGGGGUCCCAAGUGUAUUAUUAAUCUUUCGAUUGUCCACUCCCUUGGAACCACCCCUGUUUGCUUAUCCUGCUUUCUUGGUUGGGGAGGGCAGCUCACCCAGGAAAUUCCAAGGAGGACAUGAGCCAUCAUGGGCGGACUUCUCCAGAUGAUGGGCCCAGACCAUCUCAAGAUGACAAGAAGGAGAGGACCAGCGGAGAACUGGAACAGACAAAGAGUGAUCAAGACUGCGGAGUGAAA